CGGGGUAGAGGAAUUGGUCAACUCAUCAGGCUCAUGACCUGAAGACUGCAGGUUCGAAUCCUGUCACCUUGA
rnacentral:tRNA from 1 species